UCCCAGGAACCUUUUUGAAACUGUGCUUGG
rnacentral:piRNA from 1 species